AGUCAAGCAGACAGUAGCAAGGUAAGAUGUUAUGACCAUGAAAAGUUAAGCACUUAAGCCUAAGGAGUAAUGGAAAAUAAGUGAUCUAAGGCAACAGACACCACUUAGUGGACUGUUAUGUACAAAUUGUUAGUUUAGUGUAAUGGGGAGGAAAUCCAGUCCACAAAUUUCUAGUGAAUCUGUAUGAGUACAAUGAACUAGAAAAAAUCCAUGUUAUUCUAGGUAUAUAAAAGUGAUAAUAAUGUAAUACUUGAUGACCGAGGAAAGUAGUAAGAAAAAAAUAAUUUGUGUAUGUGGCCUUGAGCUGCCUCCUUUACAGUAAAAACCAACAAUAAUGAAUAAAUAAAAAUAAUCGUAUAUACAAACACUAAGAUCUUGCCAGUAAUGUCGCAUUAGUGCAUGAAAAAUUCCCCUGAUAGUGAAAAUGAUAUUUACUUAACAUUGAAAUACAUGUAUACCUAAGUGGUUGAUUGGUGCCUCCGUCCCAGGAUUUUCAUAAUUUUUUUUUAAUUUGAAUCCCUCCUAUUAAUAAGGUGUUUCUCUUUUCCUGAAAUAUGUUACUUUACACACAACCACACCCCCAACACACUGCUACACACCAACAGUCUUCCACAUCCCACCACACUCAGCUAGCAGCAGGGUACGGGUGUCCAUAUAUGUGCUUAAUAGCAAAACAGUGGUGUGGUGGUGUGCAUAGCAGUGGGAGUAUUGUGUAAGUGUGUGUUGGAGCAAGGUGGGGGUGUGGAGGUGUGUGUGGGAGCAAGGUGGGGGUGUGGAGGUGUGUGUGGGAGCAAGGUGGGGGUGUGGAGGUGUGUGUGGGAGCAAGGUGGGGGUGUGGAGGUGUGUGUGGGAGCAAGGUGGGGGUGUGGAGGUGUGUGUGGGAGCAAGGUGGGGGUGUGGAGGUGUGUGUGGGAGCAAGGUGGGGGUGUGGAGGUGUGUGUGGGAGCAAGGUGGGGGUGUGGAGGUGUGUGUGGGAGCAAGGUGGGGGUGUGGAGGUGUGUGUGGGAGCAAGGUGGGGGUGUGGAGGUGUGUGUGGGAGCAAGGUGGGGGUGUGGAGGUGUGUGUGGGAGCAAGGUGGGGGUGUGGAGGUGUGUGUGGGAGCAAGGUGGGGGUGUGGAGGUGUGUGUGGGAGCAAGGUGGGGGUGUGGAGGUGUGUGUGGGAGCAAGGUGGGGGUGUGGAGG